rnacentral:rRNA from 1 species
UACGUAGGGUGCAAGCGUUGUCCGGAAUUAUUGGGCGUAAAGGGCUCGUAGGCGGUCCAUCGCGUCGGGAGUGAAAAGCUGGGGCUUAACCCCAGUCCUGCUUCCGAUACGGGUGGACUAGAGGUAGGUAGGGGAGAACGGAAUUCCUGGUGUAGCGGUGAAAUGCGCAGAUAUCAGGAGGAACACCGGUGGCGAAGGCGGUUCUCUGGGCCUUACCUGACGCUGAGGCGCGAAAGCUAGGGGAGCAAACAGG